GUCGAGAAUAAUUCGCAAUGGGCGAAAGCCUGACGAUGCGACGCCGUGUGAGCGAUGAAGGCCUUCGGGUUGUAAAGCUCUGUCGCCUGCGAACAAGGUUUGUGUGUGAACAACACAUAAACUUGAGUGUAGUAGGAAAGGAAGCACCGGCUAACUCCGUGCCAGCAGCUGCGGUAAUACGGAGGGUGCAAGCGUUAGUCGGAAUUACUGGGCGUAAAGGGUGCGUAGGCGGGGAUGUAAGUCAGAUGUGAAAUACCGUAGCUCAACUACGGCCGUGCAUCUGAAACUGCGUUUCUAGAGGGAUAGCGGAGAAAACGGAAUUCCAUGUGUAGCGGUGAAAUGCGUAGAUAUAUGGAAGAACACCUGUGGCGAAAGCGGUUUUCUAGCUCGACCCUGACGCUGAGGCACGAAAGCAAGGGGAGCAAACAGGAUUAGAAACCCCAGUAGUCC
rnacentral:rRNA from 1 species